rnacentral:rRNA from 1 species
UACAGAGGUCUCAAGCGUUGUUCGGAUUCAUUGGGCGUAACGGGUGCGUAGGCGGCGCGGUAAGUCGGGUGUGAAAUCUCGGAGCUUAACUCCGAAACUGCAUUCGAUACUGCCGUGCUUGAGGACUGGAGAGGAGACUGGAAUUUACGGUGUAGCGGUGAAAUGCGUAGAGAUGGGGGAGAACACUCGUGGCGAAGGCGGCCAGCUAGACCAGUUCUGACACUGAGGCGCGACAGCGUGGGGAGCAAACAGG